ACGCUCGACACCUACUGGAGGCAGCAGUGGGGAAUAUUGCACAAUGGGGGAAACCCUGAUGCAGCGACGCCGCGUGAGCGAAGAAGUAUCUCGGUAUGUAAAGCUCUAUCAGCAGGGAAGAAGAUGACGGUACCUGACUAAGAAGCACCGGCUAAAUACGUGCCCGCAGCCGCGGUAAUCUGAGCGGGCUGGCAAGGC
rnacentral:rRNA from 1 species